rnacentral:sRNA from 1 species
UGAUGCCAGGUUCAAAAAUCAUAAACCACAUUGUACUUGCACGUAAGUAGUUUUGUGACUUUAUGACCCACUCCAAUGUGAAGAUAAAAGUAGGGCAGAUGCCCCUCACUAUCCGAAUUUGGGACAGAAUUGUAGGAGUGCAUAGCACGAAACAAUUUGUUAGGUAUCG